rnacentral:rRNA from 1 species
GACGUAGGGCGCGAGCGUUGUCCGGAUUUAUUGGGCGUAAAGAGCUCGUAGGCGGCUUGUUGCGUCAGCUGUGAAAACCCGCAGCUCAACUGUGGGCUUGCAGCUGAUACGGGCAGGCUUGAGUUCGGUAGGGGAGACUGGAAUUCCUGGUGUAGCGGUGAAAUGCGCAGAUAUCAGGAGGAACACCUAUGGCGAAAGCAGGUUUCUGGGCCAUCACUGACGCUGAGCUGCGAAAGCUAGGGGAGCAAACAGG